rnacentral:rRNA from 1 species
CCUGGCUCAGGAUGAACGCUGGCGGCGUGCUUAACACAUGCAAGUCGAACGAAGCAAUUUAUUACGAUCCCUUCGGGGUGACGAUUUAUUGACUGAGUGGCGGACGGGUGAGUAACGCGUGGGUAACCUACCUUGUACAGGGGGACAACAGUUGGAAACGACUGCUAAUACCGCAUAAGCGCACAGCUUCGCAUGGAGCAGUGUGAAAAGUUUUUUCGGUACAAGAUGGACCCGCGUCUGAUUAGCUAGUUGGUGAGGUAACGGCUCACCAAGGCGACGAUCAGUAGCCGACCUGAGAGGGUGACCGGCCACAUUGGGACUGAGACACGGCCCAAACUCCUACGGGAGGCAGCAGUGGGGAAUAUUGCACAAUGGGCGCAAGCCUGAUGCAGCGACGCCGCGUGAGCGAAGAAGUAUUUCGGUAUGUAAAGCUCUAUCAGCAGGGAAGAUAAUGACGGUACCUGACUAAGAAGCACCGGCUAAAUACGUGCC